rnacentral:misc_RNA from 1 species
GAAGUUAGCAUGCAAAAAGCUUGGUUCUAUGAGGAGCAUGGUCCUAAGGAAGUCCUCAAAUUGGGAGAUUUCCCAAUUCCUUCUCCACUGCACAAUCAGCUAUUAGUUGAAGUUCGGGCUGCUGCUUUGAAUCCUAUUGAUUCCAAAAGACGUCAAAAACCCUUUUGUCCUUCAGAAUUUCCAGUGGUCCCUGGCUGUGACGUGGCAGGUGUGGUGGUAGCAAAAGGCAGUGGUGUUACAAAAUUUUGUAUUGGUGAUGAGGUUUAUGGAAACAUUCAAGACUUUAAUGCAGAGGGACAACCAAAGCAGCUUGGGACACUGGCAGAGUUCAUAGUCGUGGAGGAGAGUUUGGUUGCAAAGAAGCCAAAAAACCUUUCAUUUGAAGAGGCUGCUAGCUUGCCACUUGCUGUUCAGACUGCAAUUGAAGGUUUCAUAACUGCAGAUUUUAAAGAGGGGGAGAAUAUUUUUGUAGUUGGUGGAGGUGGUGGGGUUGGCAGUUUAGUUGUUCAGCUUGCGAAGCAUUUAUUUGGAUCUUCUUAUGUUGUUGCUACUUGUAGCACUCCUAAGGUGGAAUUUGUCAAAAGUUUGGGAGCUGAUGAAGUUGUUGACUACACCAAGACAAGAUAUGAGGAAAUUGAGGAGAAAUAUGAUUAUGUUUACGAUACAAUUGGUAUGUUUCCACUUGACCUCGUAGAUUGCAGCUUCCAUUCUGAGAAAGUGUUUCAUAUUGAGCUCUUUUUUCUAUUAACCUCAACUUUUGCGAUGGAUGAAUCUUAAUUCUGUUGAUCUGCUAAAACUAUUGCAUUUUUUUAUCAUAUUAAAAUAUUAAAUGGAGGUAUUAUUUUAGUAUAAUUUUGUUUUGUUUCUUUCUGUAAAUGUCUCUUAAUUUAUAAUUUGAUCUUCAGGCGACUCCAAGAAUUCUUUUGUGGUAGCUAAGGAUGGCGCACCAAUUAUUGACAUAACCUGGCCGCCCUCAAAUCCAAGGGCUGUUUAUUCAAGCUUGACAGUUUCAGGGGAAAACCUGGAGAAGCUUGAGCCAUUUCUGGAGACUGGCAAACUCAAGGCUGUGAUUGAUCCUACCGGUCCAUAUAAUUUUAUGGAUGUAAUCCAAGCUUUUGGUUAUUUAGAAACUGGAAGAGCCCGCGGAAAGGUUGUUAUCUCUUCCUUCCCAUCAGAGCACCAUCUCCAUCCUGCCAUAUGCGAAAGCAAGAACAAUAUCUGAGAUUUGUAUUCGCAGAAGAUUCUGUUUUAUUGGUGUGAAUUUAUUCAGGGUUGUUAAAAAUAGCAGAAAUGAAUGUAUUGAAUAUGCCUGUCAUAAGUUUUGAGUUUCUGGUUGUUUUCUUGUGUAUCAGUGUCUUAAUUCUUUUGUUCCUCCUCCAUAAGAAAUUAAUAUACUAAGUUAUUAUUCCUGGU